UACGUAGGGGGCAAGCGUUGUCCGGAAUCAUUGGGCGUAAAGAGCGUGUAGGCGGCUUGGUAAGUCCGCUGUGAAAGUCCAGGGCUCAACCCUGGAAUGCCGGUGGAAACUGUCAGGCUAGAGUGCGGAAGAGGCGAGUGGAAUUCCUGGUGUAGCGGUGAAAUGCGCAGAUAUCAGGAGGAACACCAAUUGCGAAGGCAGCUCGCUGGGACGUUACUGACGCUGAGACGCGAAGGCGUGGGGAGCGAACAGG
rnacentral:rRNA from 1 species